rnacentral:rRNA from 1 species
GGACUACUCGGGUUUCUAAUCCCGUUCGCUCCCCUGGCUUUCGCGCCUCAGCGUCAGAAAAGGUCCAGUCGAUCGCUUUCGCCACCGGCGUUCCUUCCGAUAUCUACGCAUUUCACCGCUCCACCGGAAGUUCCAUCGACCCCUACCUCCCUCGAGACCGCCAGUAUCCCAGGCAAUUCCCCGGUUGAGCCGGGGGAUUUCACCCCGGACUUGGCGGCCCGCCUACGCGCCCUUUAAGCCCAGUGAUUCCGAACAACGUUCGCACGGUUCGUCUUACCGCGGCUGCUGGCAC